rnacentral:sRNA from 1 species
GCUUUGUGUUUAAACUCCCGCUUUCCCGCUUUCCCGCUUUCCCCAGCCCACCAAUUAAUCAAUUUAUCAUACCAAUUCGCCACCACCACCACCACCACUACCACUCGGGAACCUGACCAACACCCCCUUACAAUGCAGAAUCCCAUGAUUCAAAACUCCGAAGUUAACCUAAGUAUGGCACAGGCCAGCAAAGGGCUAGCAAAGCCUGCAAGUUACAGUUGCGUACCCAGGUACAGUACAAGCAGAAAGAAAAAAUAACCCUAAAAUCUCCAAACUCAAUCUCUUAACCUUGUUAUUCCUUGGUUGGACUCGUGCCAAAUUCACAGUAGUUACUGACCAGGUCGAAUACUCCCAACAUAUAUUGCUCGGCUCUGGAAAGCUAGCUAGGG